rnacentral:tRNA from 2 species
AGUUAAUUAGCUUAAAGAAAGCAUAUGUUUUGAAAACAUAAUAUUAGAAGUUUAAUUCUUCUAUUAACUU